rnacentral:rRNA from 1 species
UACGUAGGGUGCAAGCGUUGUCCGGAAUUAUUGGGCGUAAAGAGCUCGUAGGCGGUCUGUCGCGUCGGCUGUGAAAACCCGGAGCUCAACUCCGGGCCUGCAGUCGAUACGGGCGGACUUGAGUACUGCAGGGAGACUGGAAGUUCCUGGUGUAGCGGUGAAAUGACGCAGAUAUCAGGAGGAACACCGGUGGCGAAGGCGGGGUCUCUGGGCAGUAACUGACGCUGGAGGAGCGAAAGCGUGGGGAGCGAAACAGG